rnacentral:lncRNA from 1 species
CUAUGGUUGCUUCAGCCAGCAACACUUGUGUGUUGUUUCUGCCCACAAGGACAGUUUGUAAUGAAGAAGUAGGCUGUGUGCAUACGGAACCAGGCUAAGGGGCUUUUUGCAUCAUCUUCCACAGAAGUGCAGGUAAGAAAACUUUAUCGUCUCAUCCUCCUUGUCCCUACCUACCCCCACCCCCCAAAAAAAGCUAAUUGGGAAAUCAUAUGAUUGUCUUUAUCACUAAGUCCCCCUUCUAUACUAAGCAAAUAAAAUAACAAGGACAAAUGGGUCUUGGUAAUG